AGUCCUGCCCAGUGAACACUAGUUUCAACGGCCGCGGUAUCCUGACCGUGCAAAGGUAGCAUAAUCCCUUGCCUUUUAAUUGGAGGCUAGUAUGAAUGGAUAAACGAGAGAAAAGUUGUCUCGCUUUUAAAACCAUAAGUUAGUCUACAAGUGAAGAAACUUGCAUAAAACUAAAAGACAAGAAGACCCUAUUGAGUUUAACUUAAUGGGUAUACUUGAUUAUUAUAAUAAAAAAGGAAUUUCCCUAAAAGUUUGAUUGGGGCAAUCAAUGACUAAACCCACCGUCAUCAUUAAGCAAGAAUCAGAUCACCAGAUUAUCCGCUUACGCGAAUUAGAAAUAAACUACCAUAGGGAUAACAGACCAAUCUCUUUUGAAAGUUCAAAUCGAAAAGGAGGAGUGGCACCUCGAUGUUGGCUUAGGGACACCUAUAGGUGCAGCCGCUUAUAAGGUUGGUUUGUUCAACCAUUAAAUCCCUACGUGAUCUGAG
rnacentral:rRNA from 1 species